AAAAGGAAAAGUAAAACUCGAGCAAGGAAAACAGAAAAAAAAAUUCGUGCACCAGAAAUGUUUGAAAAAACAAAUUCGUGCAGAGACUUUCAUUGAUAGGGAAAAUUAUAAGUUGACAGGGCCUAUCAGAGGUACAGUGUAAGGGUGUCCCCCAAAUUUGGAAAAUAAGCGUUUUAAUCAUGUUUUAAUCAUUUGGAAAAUGCGUUUUAAACUUUAACUAAAGUGAUGUUAGUUCGAAAAAAAUUUUUUUGACCG